CAAUAGCGUAUAUUAAAGUUGUUGCAGUUAAAAAGCUCGUAGUUGGACCUUGGACUUGGACAGGCGGUCCGCCUCACGGCGUGUACUGUCUUGCUGGGUCUUUCCUCUUGGUGAUCUGUUGUUUCGGCAGCAGGGAACCAGGACUUUUACUUUGAAAAAAUUAGAGUGUUCAAAGCAGGCUCGACGCCGGAAUAUAUUAGCAUGGAAUAAUAAAAUAGGACGUGCGGUUCUAUUUUGUUGGUUUUUGGAAUCGCCGUAAUGAUUAAUAGGGACAGUCGGGGGCAUUAGUACUCACAUGCUAGAGGUGAAAUUCUUGGAUUUUGUGAAGACUAACUUCUGCGAAAGCAUUUGCCAAGGAUGUUUUCAUUAA
rnacentral:rRNA from 1 species